CCUACGGGUGGCUGCAGUGGGGAAUAUUGGACAAUGGGCGAAAGCCUGAUCCAGCCAUGCCGCGUGUGUGAAGAAGGCCUUCGGGUUGUAAAGCACUUUCAGUGGGGAAGAAAGCCUUGGGGCUAAUACCCUCGAGGAAGGACAUCACCCACAGAAGAAGCACCGGCUAACUCCGUGCCAGCAGCCGCGGUAAUACGGAGGGUGCGAGCGUUAAUCGGAAUUACUGGGCGUAAAGCGCGCGUAGGCGGUCUGAUAAGCCGGUUGUGAAAGCCCCGGGCUCAACCUGGGAACGGCAUCCGGAACUGUCAGGCUAGAGUGCAGGAGAGGAAGGUAGAAUUCCCGGUGUAGCGGUGAAAUGCGUAGAGAUCGGGAGGAAUACCAGUGGCGAAGGCGGCCUUCUGGACUGACACUGACGCUGAGGUGCGAAAGCGUGGGUAGCAAACAGGAAUAGAUACCCGAGUAGUC
rnacentral:rRNA from 1 species